UUAGAAAAAUACGUUUUCAAGUCAACCAACAGGGGGAAAAAAAAAAAAAAAACCUGCAUACUAAAUACCAUUUACAUUACUACAAAAACUCACUCAGUCAGAUAACUAGUAGAGCAUUAACUGUUGUAAAAUACACAUUAACAAACUUUACCCUGAGACCAGUUUGAAAGGUAUAAUUAGCAACAGAGGGCUUUAUUCAACUUCAACAGAAGUUUAAGGCAACAACAUGCAUAUUAAACAUAUGGCACGCUGCCAUUAAACCAUGUACCACAGGGGGCAUGUGGCCCAGAAGCAGAAACCAUGAAGAAAAACACAGGCACUCACAUGUUCCAGUAUCAUUUCUGAAAGUGUACAAAUAAUUAACUGUAAAAAUCCCUUGUUAUUGGAUCUACAAAGUGAAAUUUCAGAGCACUAUUCUUUAGAAAGAUUGAAGACAUUCAGCAAUAAGAAGGAUCUUAAAAAUCAUUCAUUCAACAAAAUGCAAAUUGUGGUGUAUACCUUCACAACUAUUCUACGCAGCCUAUAAACCACUGUAUAGAACUAGUUUAGGGAGGUUGAAAUCCUAACUUAUUGUUUGUGUAUCUUAUUUUCUUUGUUACAUAACAAAGAGAAUAAACAAUUUGUAUAAGCAGAACAGAUGCUUUUAGAAGACAGCUCAUUGUGGCUUCAUAUACAUGUGUGUAGAGGGGAGAAAACCUACCACAUACAUUGUUUUACCUUGCACAGAUAACCAUUGACUUCUAUUCCUGUUAUUCGAAUACCUGGGAAUGGAGCAAGGGCUUCCUAGGGACAAAGCUCGUGAUCUUCAGUGUGUGAGACACCAGGCAGGCAAGGAAACAGUAACCCCACAUUGAAGUCUGAGUACAAAGGCCCAAUGUAGGCAUAGUAUAAACUUAGCUUCUACACUGCUAGCACUGACUAACUAUACUUCCUGGGUAACUUUGAGUGAAGAUGCAGUAUUUUCUGAAGUAGGUUUUGGCAGGGAUAGCAACAGUAGGGAGAAAAAGAAGUUGGAGGCUUUCUACUAACUCAGGCAGGAGGCAACAAUGUAUGUAGGUACAGAAGAAGAAAAGGAGCCAUUGGUGGUCACACUCUUCUUUUAUUUUGGAACUGGUAUUAAACUAACAGGGCAUAAACUAGAAGGAACAAUAUGGAAGGCAAAGGUUGGAUGAACAUUAGGUAAUAUUAGGAAUCCAAGUGGACACAUCACAUGAGCUGUUGGAGCUGAAGGUGGAGGCAGGCAGUGGCUAUCUUAACAAAAAAUAAGGUUGCUAUGGUUGUUGUUGUUAUUUGCAUGGCUUUAAGAUCUUAAUAUGUGCCUAGUCUGGCUUUGAACUUGAGAUUCUCUUACCUUAGCCUCCCAAGCACCCAAGUCAUUGGUGUAAGCCACUAUGGCUGGUACAAACUCAAGUCUUCCCCUGAUGUUCUAGGAAGCUAUCUUACUGACUCGCUUGGGAACUAGAUAGAUCCUCUGAGAUCUUUCAACGUUUGUAGUUUUGAACUUGAAUUUCUGCUGUGAAUAAUCAAGAGAUACAUUAAGGUUUGACUGUUUUGAUUUGCUAUCUAGGUUUAAAUCUACAAUAGAGCUAUUAAGAUAGUAGGCAGAACUUCUUUAGUCCGGUCCCUUGUACAAACAAGAAACAAACAUAAUUACAGUGAAUUAUACAAUUCACUGAAUUACUGUCCAGAAUUUAUACACAUAUUCAUGUUGCUAAUCUCCAAAUGAUAGCCUGCUGGCCUCUUUAUCACUCAUGACCUUGAUACCUUUGAGAAGGAAUGAUGAGAACUAUAGAGUGCCCCGGAUCUAGUGUUACUGGUGUAGUGAUUUUAAUCAUUCAAAUGAAAUGUUAAGAGACGUUGUCUGUCCUAGAUUCUCAGUACCCAAGGUAUGUGCAGCCUGUUUCUCUGUUCUUGGAAACAUUGCAGCUCAGUCAAGUUCUACCAGGAUAUGAUAAUCUUUCAACCAUUCAAUGGGAAAGUUAACUAUAAACAGUCUUCUAGAAAUUUAAAUCUAAGACAAGUAAAACAAUUUGACUUUGAGGAAAAAAAUACAAAUAUAGCCUGUUUAUAGAAAAACUAGCAUUAAUAAACUUAGCCACUCAAUAUGGCUAACUCUAGAACAAACAGGAGCUCAGAUAUGUCUUUCUUAUGGUUAUUAAUGAAGGAGGGACUGCCUACACCUACUGUGUGUAAUAGGUGCUGUACAGCUUAUGAGAACAGCUUUACAGCAGUACGAGAGUAUAGAGAAGUCUGCUAGAGCUGUCAAGGGAAUUUAUGUAGAAUGGGGAGAAAUUUUGGACUAAGGCUAUUGCCUCGCCUGACUAAAGCUAUUUAAGAAACAAACAGUACUUAAGUUAAAAAAUCAAAGUGAUUGUCUUAUCAACAAAAAGGGCUGAGAUGUUUCAGUUGGUAAAGGAACUUACUGUGCUAGUUAGUUUUAUGUCAACUUGACACGAGCUAAGUCAUCUGAGAGGAGAAAACCUCAAUUGAGAAAAUGCCUCUUAGACUGUAGGCAAGCCUGUAAAGUAUAUUUUUUAAAUCAGUGAUUGAUAUAGGAAGACCUAGCCCAUUUGGGUGGUACCAUCCUGGAUUGGUGGUCCAAGAUUCUAUAAGAAAGCAUGCUGAGCAAACAAUGAGAAGCAAGCAAGUAAGCAUCUCUCCAUGAUCUCUGCGUCCAGGUUCCUUCACAGGUUGAGUUGCUGCCUUGGCUUCCUUCAAUGGACUGUGUCAGGAUACACUAGCUAAAUAAACUCACUCCUUCCCAAGUUGCCUUUGUCCAUAGUGUUUCAUCACAAUAACCCUAAGUUAUCAAUAAGCCUAACAAUUCAAUAAUUUGAUGCCCAGGCAGGUCUCACAAUAGUAAAAGUGGAGAACCAAUCCCAUAAAUUGUAUUGUGAUUUUCAUGUAUGUUCUGUGGCAUGUCCAAGAAUGCACAAGCAUUUGUGUAUAUGAGCUAACAUACAAAAAAAACACAUAUAUGUACUUACAUACAUAUACUAAGUAAUAAAUUAAAAAAAAAUUUUUUUGGAGAGCACUUAAGAAAAUGGUUCUCGGCCAGGCAGUGGUGGCGCACACCUUUAAUCCCAGCACUUGGGGUGCAGAGGCAGGUGGAUUACUGAGUUCGAGGCCAGCCUGGUCUACAGAGUGAGUUCCAGGUCAGCCAGGGCUACACAGAGAAACCCUGUCUUGAAAAAAAAACAAAAACAAAAACAGAAGAAAAUGGUUCUCAAAACCUUCAUAACUGAAACUGGUGCAUCUAUAGAGAAUGGUAACUAAAAAUUAGCUCUGCUUAUAUCCCAAUGCCCAGCCGAAUAAAAGUACAACUUCUCUGAGUCAGCUUCCUAUAAAUCCCUAAGACCCUUAGUCACCACAACUACUAAAGCAUGACCAGUACCCCUUAUAUCUCCUUUGACCACUCUUUCUGCCUCUGUUUCUUGGCUUUCAAUCUGUCUUGUUAUCUGGUUCUCCUUAUUCCCUACUGUAAAAGCUGCAAGCCUCUUGCCUUAGCACUUAAGCCCACAGAGAGCACUGGCCAUAGAGAUCACAUCUGACUCUACUAAACAGGGCUGAGCCCUCACCACACUGCCAGAUCCAGGCCUAGAUUCUAUAGAAAAGCAGUCGGGAGGAGCUCAGACAAGAGGCCAGGAAGGUCGGAGCUGGGAAAGCCUCAACAGUGCAGCAGCCACAGUACUGAACUCUCUCUCUGAACUCUUCUCGAGCUCUAUUUAUUUGUCAGGUAGCUGUUCAUUUUCCAUUCAAAUAAGAACUAUCAAAUAUGCUAUAUACCUAGUGCUAGACAAACCUAUUGUGUAAAAAUAUGAAGACAAAAAACCCAAACAAGUCAGGAGCUAUAAAAUUACAAAUUCAGAAAGAAAAAUAAGCCCUUUAGAUACUGAGUAGGGUCUAGACUGGAGAGAUGUUUUCCAUUCAUGCAUGGGCAUAGAGAACAGGGAGGCCAGAGCAGGAGAAUCAGGACAUGACCAGGUUCCACUGAGCUUCCAUCAAUAUCUGCCUCAAACAGGCACUCACCCAUGGGCUGUACUCAAGUCACUAUUUUCAAUAUAAUGAUUAUAAAUGAUUUCUAAAUAUAAAACAGCAUCUUAGACUCUAAAGAUGGCAGUCAUACUUGUGACGUUUUUUACACAUGAAAAUCUGAGGAGACAGCAGUUUUCAAAAGUCACCAAAGGCAUCGUCAUUUGAGAAUCACUGAUACAUAAAACACAGCCACUAAAUGAAUGCUAGCUAGAGCAAUGUUAAGCUGUAAACACUGUGGCUUACCCUGUUUCCAUGCCUCUACAGUCCUCCUAUUCCUGAGCUACCAGACAGGUAUUGAAUUGAAAUAUACAUAUUUAUCUGUCAAACACCAUCCCUACAGAAGACUCUUUGUUGCAGAAAUAAGAGACUAUGCCCCAUACUGUGAGGCUGGCAAAUGGAACCCUUCUUGGACCAAAUCCUAUGUUCUCCCUCCAUAACCUGGUGUUUGGAGGUGUGCUCUGGAUUGGAUAGGAAACAACAUUCAGAGCUGCUCUGUCUCCAAUGAUAACACUGCUGGAGUAGGAUUCCAAAGUUGCCACCAAGAAACCACACGGAAGUAAGAGAUUGACCAUUAUACUGUGCAUAUGUAGAGUUCAGCAAUGCAAACAUGCACAAAGGAAACAGUGACAGACACACAAAUGCAGCACUUACACACAUAAACACACACACACACACACACACACGUUAGACCUAGUGGUGUACACACACACAUAAGACACACAAACAGAGGAUCCAGUGGUGUAUAAAUGCACAGACAGACAUGGAACACAGUGAUACACAGGGGCCCCAGCAAUGGUAAAUGCACACACACAACAGAGACAUACAUGCAUGUGGGGAUGCAGCAAUGCACAAAUGCACACACUGCACAUGAUUCACUAUGAUUCUUUAAUGCAGUAUUCCUUUUCUUUUGUAUAUCAAAAUAUUCAAAACUUGACAAACCUUGGUGACAGGGCUGCAGCAUGAACUAUUUCUAGUUUUGCACUUAGGUGUUUAUUACAACCAUCAAGUAAAGCCAAGGUUCUAUGGAGAAAGGCUGAACCUGCGAAAAUGUACUUGCCUGAAGUUAACAGACUCCUAUCUUACACAGUCAGCUGUGCCAUUGCAGCUUUAUCAUGUAAGGGAGAAAUGCACCAUUUCACUUUAUUAAAGGCAAGUUUUCAGUAGGUAAGGUAUACAUGCAGAGCUUUAUAUUAGAUUAUGAUAAAGUAGACUCUAGUUACCUUGACAGAAUCCAGUAAACUCUUAGGAAAAAAUCGCUUUAAACCAACAUCUUUUCUGAAAUAUAGAAAGAAGCAUAUUAGCAAAUAACAGCAUAAAAAAAAAAACAAAUAACAGCAUCAAUCAGUAAUAACAUACUUGAAAGAAUGCAAAAGUAGUUUAUUCUUCUGUUUGUUCAUGAAAGAACCAAUUAUAAUCAAGCUCCAACCAGUCAGCAAACUCAUGGAAGAAGAUAAAUUACUUUGUAGCUAUGCACAAAAACACGAUUACAAUCCAUUUCAAUAGAAAUCUUUGGUUGUUUCCCCUCUACUGUUGAAGUCCUUUUUGAAAAAGUCCCAUUUGCCUUACUGCAAAUGGCCGUGUAAUGAAACUGUUCUUUCUCAGGUGUGGCGUAGAGGUGAUCCUUAUGCACACGAGUUCCUCAACUGCCUAAUUAAUAAUAAACUGCUGGAACACAGUCCAAGAAUGGAACUCUGUGACGGGAAUUCUGAGUACUUGUAAAAAAGUAAGACAAGAGUCUCAGUUUCUUCAAAAACACAAAACUGUUUUUGGAAAAUGCUUUUGUGUCCCUCCCAAAUGUAGCAGAUAGGAGUUUACUUUAGAUUAUUUAUUACAACUGGUAAUUGCUGUUUGUUUACAUGCCACUAUGGGAAACCCUGUUUUUUCCAUGUGAUUUGUCUACCACAUGCAGCUUACCCUUGUGACUGGACACUUUGCUCAUGUGACUCCUAACCCUCACAGUAUAAGUUGUUAGAUGUUCUAAAUAAAGUUGGCUGUUGCUUCAGACUGGAGUUCACCUCAUCUUUAGGGCUGGCUCCCCCAGGUUCACACCAGCUCUAAAGCAGUAAACAGUAAACCUUUCAAACGUAUCUGAAGUGGUGAUUGCUGUUCUCCCUGAUUUUCUUUUGGGGGAGGGGUUUCUCUGUGUAGUCCUGGCUGCCCUGGAACUCAUUCUGUACACCAGGCUGACCUUGAAUUCAAGAGAUUUGCCUGCCUCUGCUGCCCAAGUACUGAAAUUAAAGAUGUGCAUUACCAAAGUCCACCUUUCCUUGACUUUAAAAUUUAUUAACUCAUCCCUAAUCACUUUUCUUCUUCUCAACAUCACAAAAUGGGAAAAGGAAUAAUAAGUCAAGUGAUUAGUCCUGGUUCAAAAACUAAAUGUGUAGAAAUGUGAGAAAUCCCAACAAUUUUGACAAGUUGGGCUAUAAACUGGGGCCUGCUAUUAUUAAAAACCUCAGAACAAGAAACACAUUGAAAAAAAAAAAAAAAAAAAACAGGUUAGGCUUGUUUGAAAUGUACCACUUUUGUGUGCUGAACUAGCAGUCUGUCCACUAGAUGGCACUGUUUUCCAGGAAGAUGAAAUGUACAUGAGAAGACAUGAGAUCAGGAAAUCAUGAAAAUACAGAAAAGGACCAAGGACAAAAUUUAAUGUCAGGUACUGUACGGGUGUCUUUCUGCAGAGGUACAAGGGGGGAAGCUAAGUAAAUAUGAAGUAUCAACAAAAAGGAGUUGUUUCACAAUCACUUUAUAGUCAAAACCACAGAAAUCACGGGGUUUGUAUGGUUGACCUCCCAUCCAAUUAAAUUCAUUAACCUAUAAUCUGAGCAGCAGCACCCGAAUCAAUUGACUCCUUGUUAAACCAAUUUACCACAUCCAAAAGUCACUUUCUUGGCUCUGGCCUGCUGUUUUCUGGUUUUACCUGCCAAGGAACUGCUCUACAGUAAUUUCACUUCAUGUCUCAUGCCCAAACCCUAUUUAAUUGUCCCAUAUGUAAAUAAACAUACAUAAAUAAACAGAACCAUAGCUUUUAGUGAAACUCUACUAUAUUAGUAGAUACCAAAAGGUAUAUCCUGAAUGCAUUUAAAUCCAUCUGAUUAAAAACAAAACCACAGCAACAAAAUAAACACAAACCAAACUCAAAGGAGAAUUUGAGAACACUGCCAAACUGCAGUCCCCCAGGUCAGGCAUACGCUAUUAGGCUCCUUCCUUACUUCAGUGUUACUAUGGAGGACAUACACAUAAUAACAGGUCAAUAAUAUUAGGUUAGAGCAGGAUUGCUCAACACUGUAGCAAAUGGCUAUAUGUAAAUUAGCUAAAUUAAAAGUGCUGUUCCUGGCUUUAGCAGCUCUGUGUCCAGUGUUCAAGAGUCUCACAUGUGGAAAAUACCUACUGACUGGAUAGGGCAGACCAGACCCAGAAUGUUUCCACCAUCCUCAGCACAGAGUGCCAAGGCACACAGCUGUGUUGGUGACUACCUAACAUUCAGUACCCUUCCUGCCCAGUGCACCUGAAGGUCCCUCAAUAAGGACAGAGAUGGUAACAAUAACACUGGGAAUGAAAACAAUUACCAUGGGGACAACCACAUAAGCUCCAGAGUUCCUCAAAUAGGGCAACAGGCACAGAGGGAUGUGGAGAGCUGGCCCACAGCACUGACACAGCAUCAAGACAGAGCCCACAUAACUGUCUUUACCUCAGAGCCUUUUCCUGAAAGCAAUCCCACGUUGCAAAAAGGGUUCCUGUGACAUGCACUCUAUGUUCAGAUGAUUUUGACUUAAGGUAUAGGGAACUUGUGCUCAUCUGUUUUCUCCUGACAGAUGCCUUCAUUUUGGUUUUUGGUCUUUUAAAAGGUUUCUUGGUUUGUUUGUCUGCUUGUUUGUAAAGACACUGAUUAUGUGGCUAAGGCUAGUGUCACAUUCAUGAUCCUUCUUCCUAGGCCUUCCAAGAGCUGGAAAGAUAGCUGUGUGCCUGGUCUAUAAUUCCUCAUGUAACAUUCUCAAACAACUAACCUGUGAUAAUAUGAAAAGUUCUAAAACCUAACAAUGCUUCAAGCCAACCAAUUUAGCAUUUGGGAUCUACAGCCAGUGAGCCUUCCUGCAGAACUUUCUUAAUGUCUGUUUACUCAGAUUAAAAUGUUUCUAUUUUCCCUUUGCCUCUGUCAAUCUUGGAGCCUUUUCACCACUGUAUUGGUUGUCCUGUCUUUCAGUAUGCUCUUGCUUGGAAAGUUGUACAUGCCUUCCCUUCCUCACUGACACCAUAUGGGUAUCCAGAAUGGAAGAGACAGAAAAGCAGUAUAGGCAGGAGGACUCCUCUCCAGCUGCAUUGUUUCUCCAGUGCUUCAGAAUCUGUGGUGCUAUGAAGUCUGAGACCUCAUUCUGCAUGUGUAUGUUCAUGUCCACAAACCAAAGCACACGGGCCUUUGUGACUUCUGAUUAGACUAUACCCAACUUACAUAUUGAAGAGGAGCUAAGUGUGUAAGUGAAGAAUCCUAUGUCCAUGUAAACUAAUAUGCUACAGAGGGAGAGAGAGAUUCUCCUCAGUGGUGCAGCCACUGGGAAGUUGGCCAUGUUCCUCCUGUAAGUAACUCCUUACCCAGGUGUUUGUCAUUAUCCUGACUGGUUACAUCCUCCCUCCCCUCAAAAUCAGCAAAGUGAGAAGUUAAGGCCCAGGUGGUAGGAUUCUACCCUCAGUAACACCACAUCAAAGUCAGAAUUUUAACAGUGCAUUACCCUACCGCUUGGAGUGUGACUCUUAUCUAAACCUGUGGCCCCCUGUGGCAGCCUCUUGGCCUCAUUUUCAGAUUUACACGGAAGUCUCAUCUAACUUCUAUUAAGUCUGUCCAUCAGGAAUGUGAAGGAGUAGGUGAGGCUGCACCCUCACUGACAGAAGCCAGGCAGUGGUGGUGCAUAACUUGGAUCCCAGCACUGGAGAGGCAGAGGCAGGCAGAACUCUGGGGUUCAAGGCCAGUCUAAUAUACAGAGCUAGUUAAGGGACAGUCAGAGUAACACAAAGAAACCUUGUUUUGAAAAACCAACCACUCCUCUGAAAAAAGGAAAAAAGAAAAGGCACCCUAGGUCUGUCAAGCUUAGAAUGACAAAAGGGAAAGUAAUAAAAAUCUUUAGUUUAUGGGAAGAAAAAAGAAAAGCAAACAAACAAAGGUAUCCAAAUAGUGUGGGCCUAUAUAGUUAGAUAUUCAUUUUAUUAUUUUAAACAUGAUCAAAAUCUUUCUUGUGAAAUGUGGUAAAAUUGAAAGGUAUUCUGUAAGUUAUCACACUUGAGUUUUCUUCUAGUAGGAUCUGACUACUAGACUACUAAAAGUAUAUGGACUACUUAAUGAUUUUUUUUUUCCUCAUAGAAGGAAAAACAAAGAGAGGCUCUUGAAGCUGUUAAUAAACAGGUAACAUUCUGAAUGUGAACAUUUUUUCUGUACUGAAAAGUAUACAAAUUGUAAAUGGCUCCAAGCUACCCACCGGCCCUUGAAUGGGAGGGAGGCUUACUGGGUACUGUGCAAGCCAGGCAUGGCAGAUAGGAACCACAAGUAUCACCUUAGCUAACACUGCUCCUAGGGCACAGACCUGGCUCUGCAGUAUGCAUGAUAGAAGAUAAGAACUAAGCAAGGUGUCUGUAAAUAUCUGUGAAGCACUGAGAAAAUUAACUACUAAUCUAGAAAUAUAAACAGAAUAAAUCUACUUUUCAAGAAAUGAGGAAAUUAAAAAAGAUUCCAAGAUGACAAAAAGAAUUUUGCCACCAAAAACUAUACAUAAAAUAUAUAGGUUGGAUACAAUGGGCUUGUAACCCCAGCAUCUGGGAGAUGGAUGGAAGGGAGCUGUAGUUCAGUGUCAUUCUGGGAUGUACUCCAAGUUCAAUGUCAGCUUGAGACUAGCUCAAAAAGUCAAAACCAACAAACAAAUUAACAUUCUUAUAAGCAACCUACUUCAUGAAAACAGAAGACAGGAAUGAUGGUAAAUAUCUAUAAUUCGGACUUCUUGGAAACUGAAGCAUCCCAAGUUCAAGGACAGCCUGGACUCUGGGCAAGUGAAACCCUAAGAAACACAGAUGAGCAGGAAGGCAGGCAGGCAGGCAGGCGCACACGCACACACACACCAGUAAUGUCUCCAAACAGAUUGAGAUACUGCAAAGAUGGUUUGGUUGAUAAAGUUAAUACAACAUGCAGGUCUGCAGGAUGCCCUGGCUGGCUGUCUACACUCAGUUCUAUGGGAACUUCUAGUGAAAUUCAUAGUUGAAGCUGUGUAUAUUGAGAGAUGAAAAAACCUAACAUUUGGACAGUGAACUGGGAACUAAGGGAGGCAGAAGUGGUAACAUUCCUUGGAUCUCCUCAGAAGUAAUCACUGCAAUUUUCAGAAAUGCAGCCUGUGUAACCCAAGUCACCUCAUCUAAGAUUAAGUGGGAGUCAAGAGUAGCAGAAGACUUAAGACAACCCUGUAUGACAAGAUUAGUAUCAAGUACAAAGCAUAAGACAAUUAUGCAAAAGAAAAAAGGGGGAAAUAAAACAACACGUAAAUUGGACACAGAGUUACUGAGAAUGAAGGAAAAGAUGGCAGCACAGAGCCUAGACUUGCAGAGGGAAUGGCAAACAGUAGCACAAACACCAAAGCUAUGGGCCAGGAGGAAAGAUUACUACUACAGUAUAAUGAGCAUGUUGGCACAAUCCUUUAAUGCCAGCAUUCUGAGAGGCAGAGGUGGGUGGAUCUCUGUUGAGUUCCUGGAUAGUCAAGGCUAUACAAUGAGAUCCUGGGAGGUUUCAGGGGAAAUACACUGAUAGGAAUAUUAGAGAAAUAACGGCAUAAUUUUUCCAAUGAAAACAUAAACCUACAGAGUUAAGAAGCAUGCUCUGGCUGGGCGUGGUGGCGCACACCUUUAUACCCAGCACUUGGGAGGCAGCCUGGUCUACAGAGUGAGUUCCAGCGCAGCCAGGGCUACACAGAGAAAUCCUGUCUCGAAAAACCAAAAAAAAGAAGGAGGAGGAGGAGGAGCAGCAGCAGCAGCAGCACGCUCUGUCCCAGAGUUCUAGAACAUAAAAAAUGAAGAGAACAUAAGCACUUGCUGGAGUGCACACACAUCAUUUAUUAAGUUAAAAGAUCUGAAAACUGGAGUUAAGGAAUCUAGCUGGGUGGAUAAUAUUUAUAGGAGAUACAGAUAAAAAUUUUUGAGAGAAAAUUUGCAAGAAAUAAAUGGAUAAUACAAACCAGGGCUGAGGAUAUGGCUCAGCCAUUAAAAGCAAUAGCUAAUCCUGCAAAGGACUCGGGUUUUAGUCUCAGCACGCCCAUAAAGACUCUCAAUCAUCUGUUAGGUGUCGUUUCAGAGGAUCUGACACCCUCUUUUGAUUUCUUCAGGAGCCAAGCAUGUACAGGGUGUAUAUACAUCCAUGCAGGCAAAACAUUCAUGUGCAUAAAGUCUAAAACAGAAAAUAGACUAAGACAGAAAAAUCAAAACUAAAAAAUUAUUAGACACAGAGAUCACUGAACAGAAUUUAACAAAAACAAAUAUAUAUAUAUAUAUAUGUAUGUGUAUAUAUGUACAUACGUAUAUAUGUACAUACACACACACUCUGUUUGUAUGAUUGAACAAGGAGUCUCUAAACAGAAAGCAAACAUUAAAGACACAUGAAUGUAAACCAGCAUGGCCACCAUGACAGCUGUCUAUUUUACUGUGCUUCUUUUAAUGUUCUGUAAAGUGCUGACAUCCAGGACAUGCAGGUCGAAAGGCUGACUAUAAAGUCAGUGCGUAAGUACACAUGCAAGUGUGUGAGUAGGUACUGUGCAUGGACCCCAGGCCUAAGAAAGGGUUAGGCUCUACCUCUCUGAGGCAAAAAGGAACUUUUUAAGCCAGGCUGAAUAUAAAAGUUGAUGAAGCAAAUAGAACAUCAUGUUAAGUGGAGAUUGUAUGGAGGCACAUGAGCCAGUUACUUUUCAAUUCUCUUCACUUUUUUGUGUAUUUCAUGCAUUUACAUAGUGGGGGGGGGGGUGUCUUAAAUCAUCCAUUAAGACACAGUCACCACAUCAAAGGUAAUUCUCAGACUGUGUUCUGACCAGACACCUCAAGGAUAGCAAUGAACCUUAAAAAAAAAAAACAAAACAAAAAAACCCCACAAAAACACCAGACCUCAUGGCAUACACCUGCAACCUCAAUACUGAGGAGACUGAGUCACUCUGAGUCACACAGUGAGACUCCCCCCCCAAAAAAAAACCAUAAAUAAAAAGUAAGCAAAGAUACACAUUAAAAAGGUAGGAACAGAAAUCUACUUAUUGGUUUCAUGUUUUUCUUUGAAUUUUUUUUGGAUGUGUGGUGUUUUGUAUACAUAUAUUUCUAUGCAUCAUAUAUGUGUCUGGUAUCCUCAGAAGACAGUAAGUGUCAGAUCACUUGGUACUAGAGUAACAGGCGAUAGUGAACUACUAUGUGGGUACUGGGAAUUGACCUCAGGUCCUUAGAAGGGCAGCAAGUACUCUUAACCACCAAGCCAUUUCUCCAGGUCCAAUUUCAAAGGUUUUAAAACAAACACUUGCUGGGCAAUGGUAGUAAGCCUUUAAUACCAGCACUUGGGAGACAGAGGCAGGAGGAUCUCUUUGAAUUCAAAGCUAGCCUGGGCUACAGGGUAAGUUCCCAGGACAAACAGGGAGGGUUACACAGAGAAAUCUUGUCUCAAAUAUAUUUUUUUUCUUUAAAGAUUUAUUUUUUUAUUUAUGUAUGUAUCUGUGUAGGUGUCUGCCUGAGUGUUAUGCUACAUGUGGGUGCUCAUGGAAACCAUUAGAGGUGCAAGGUACACUGGAGUUAUAAGUGAUUGUGGGGCCCUCCACCACUUGGUUUUAAUUUUUAUACACAUUUAACAUUUAAGUUAAGGAAGUGGUCAUUUAGGAAGGGGUUGGGGGAAGGAAGAAGAGAAGAACAGGCUAUAGAAGAAGAACAGGUAUAUACACUCAGGGUGGAUGUAGACGUCUUCAGAGAGGAUGAUAAGGCUGGAUAAAAUGGUAGAAUCUACACCUAACCUUAUCUCAUUUACAAUGGAUGCAUGCUGCACCCAUAUUAAAUCCUGACUGCAGUCUCCCCUCUUUCCUUUCUCCUAGUCUCUCCCUGCCAUCUCCCUUCUCCCCUAGAUCUAUUCCUCCAUUUCCCUUCAGAAAAUAACAGGCCUCCCAGGGAUAUUAAACUAACAUGGAGCAUCUUGUAAUCAUAUUAAGGCUGGACAAGGCAACCAAGUAGGAGGGAAAGGGUCCCAAAAAGCAGGCAAAAGAGUCAGAGACAACCCCUGCUCCCACUAUUAGGUAUCCCACAAGAACACAAAACUAAACUAAACAACCAUAACAUGUAUGCAAAGGACCUAGCUCAGACCUAAAACAGGCUCCCUGGUUGUUGGUUCAGUCUGUUAAGCUCCUAUGAGACCUGGCUAGUUGAUUCUGUGGGGCAUUUUCUGUGGUGUCCUUGAACCCACUAGUUCCUCCAAAGGAUUAAGUUCUGUAUUAAGACUAAGAAAAUAUGGGCUGGCGAGAUGGCUCAGCAGGUAAGAGCACUGACUGCUCUUCAAAAAGGGUCUGAGCUCAAAUCCCAGCAACCACAUGGUGGCUCACAACCACCCGUAAUGAGAUCUGACGCCCUCUUCUGGUGUGUCUGAAGACAGCUACGGUGUACUUAUGUAUAAUAAUAAAUAAAUCUUUGGACUGGAGCAAGCAGGGACUGAGUGAGGGGGGUUGACAGGAGCGAGCAGAGGUCCUAAAAAUUUAAUUCCCAACUACCUCAUGAAGGCUCACAACCAUCUGUUCAGCUACAGUGUACCCGUAUACAUAAAAUAAAUAAAUAAAUAUUUUUAAAAAAAAAAGACUGAAAAAAUAUGGGAUAUGAAUCCUGCCCCACUUAACAAUGUAACUAAAAUUUUCUCUAACUAGAGAACAUUUUAUUACCUUUGAAAACAACCUAAAACCCAUUCAAAAGCACUCCAAAUUAACCCAACUGGUAACGCCUAUACUCUGUUAGUCAUUUUGGCCAAUGUUCUUUGGAAGAGCUCUACAGUUUGGUUUCAUGCUGACUGAUCAUCUCUCCUCUUCACAGUAUUGAUUACAGUCAAUUCACAGUUCUGGGAUCAUGAAACUCAAUCCUCUGGUAAUACCAACAGGCAGCUACCAGCAUGACCACUUCUGUAUACCACAAAAGGCUUCUCAUCAAGUAGCAAGAGAAAAGCUAGGCCUGGAGCCAGGGGCUCUGCACAUGCAACCACUCAGCUAUCACCAAUCCUUUGAAGUGGAGAAGUAUGUUGACUACUGCUCAAGAAAAACUUCCAAAUUUUCAACUAUUAUCUCCUAGGCUACCUGCUUCUAGUUCAAGGAUUUUGAUCCUGUUUGUCACACAGCCUUCAUUAAGAUCUUUUCUUGCAAAACCCCGAAGGCCAGUGUCUGACACUGCUUAUCUACUUAAUUGCUUAGAGAAAUCACCUGUCUGAUGAUGUAGCCAUCUUAGUUUGUGCAAGGACCCUGUGCUAUCUACACAAUGACAAAACUUCCCAAAAAUGCAUUUCUCAGAAUAUAUCCCCAUUGGUAGACUAUACAAUACUUCAAAUAUAUAAAUACACACACACACACACACACACACACACACACCCCUAUUCAUUAGAGAAAACCUGUAUUGAGCACAAAUGCCCUUUAUCUACACUCACUGCUGAGCAGCUGGUGUAAAACAGUAUAAGUUUCACUUAAACUUAUGACUCCCAUACAGACUUCCUAUUUUCUUAGAAGGAGGAAGGUCUUAUUGUCUUUCAACCACCUGGGGUAGGAUUCAGGGCAGGUACCACUGCGGACUUUCAAUACCAUAUUGAUGAUAAACAGAGCAUUAACCAACUGUCCAGAAGGUCAAUAACUGCAAUUUCUAAACACUCUUCAGAGAUAAGAAAAUCAAUAAAGUGUUCUAAGCCACUCAUUAAAGCCAAGUAUUUAUUUAGUUGCAAAAAAUAGACAAUGAUAACAAUCUUCAGGGAAAACGCUCUCACAUAUAAACAUUUUACUCUAAAAUUAUACAAGGCAUUUCUUCAGAACAGUUGGUUCAUAGGCUAAAACUUGUAGUCUGAAAACACCUAUAUUCUUUAGAUAGCUGAAUGGACUCUAUGCGCACUCUUUUUCUACUGCUACCCCAUUAGUGUCACAGCCCUGCUUGUCUUCUGCUCCGGCAUUCUCUGUAGCCACUGAGCUCAGUCACACCCUGAGAGAGUGCUGUAAGACUCAGGGCUCCUCACCUUCACUGUCCAUUUCCCUUAUUAAUCAUUUUAAAACUGUGACUCUCCCAUUAGUUCCAGAAGAACUGUUUUCAUUCGUGAAAUAAACCAGAUCGAUCAAGCAUUUCAGCAUAUAUACCUAUAUAGCCAAAUAUCACACAACAUUCCAGUCAAUAAAAUGACUGCAAAAACAGUAUUUGUUCCUUAAGAUCUGUCUGAUGAUAUAGCCAUCUUAGUUUGUGCAAGGACCCUGUGCUAUCUACACAAUGACAAAACUUCCCAAAAAUGCAUUUCUCAGAAUAUAUCCCCAUUGGUAGACUAUACCAUACUUCAAAUAUAUAAAUACACACACACACACACACACACACACACACACACCUAUUCAUUCUCAUACUGAACUAAUCUGUUAAAAUGCUUCAUUCAGUCUGGACACCAGCACCCUCAUAAUCCCAUCUUACUGCCUCAGAGAAAGCCUAAAGGUUACAGAUGAUUAUAGAAGAAUCACUAUCUAAGGAGAAUCUACUAGCAGUCAGGUUCUAGGGCUAAUGUUUUAUAUAAAUCACUUCUGAUAGAUGUAAUUAUUCAGGGAAAGCUUUAAUAGUCCUACUUCAUAUACAAAACUCAAAAGAUAAUUUACAAAGGGUCUCAAAAACAAAUUUUAAAGAGACAGGCUUAUAACCCAGAAUUAUAAAUUUCCAAAACUCAGACUUUGAUUGCACUUUCAUUUUCUUAUGCAUGUGCACAAAGCACCUGAGACUCUGGGCCAGCACUGACCCUAACAAUCCACAUAGGAAAGGGGGUGACUAUAACACUUGUCAUCUUUAUUUUUCUUAAAACAUUAUGUAGUCAUAAAAGCAGGCAAAAACAUAACAAGAUAGUUCCCUGUACUUUCUAAAGGUAUGUUAUAUGAUUUAACAAUUUGUUUUAAAUAAAAGGGGGGUGUGAAUAAGUGAAUUGCAGACAAGUGUGACAACAGACUGGAAAGGUCCUAGAAACACAGAGAUGAUAUAUCUUCUUAGAGCAUCAGUUCACAUCUGCUGUGUGGUUAGUAGACAGGAAUGUGUGGUCUUCAGUGGCCUGAUAUUCUCCAGUCACAACAUUCAAAAUGAAUAGCAAGCACAUGGCAAAACCAUCUAAACUCUCAGGUAUCAGAAAUGGCAUUACAGAUUUUGGAGUUUUCCCUGCUAGGUGACCAUCUUGCUUUGGUCUAGUAUUUCAUCAUUAUGCCCCCCUUUCCUCCCUUUUGGACUGGUAGUGCAUAUUCUGUGCCAUUGUUAUGCUGGAAGUAUGUAAUUUGAUUUAUGAUUUUAUAGGGAGUUACCUUGAGUCUUAGAAGAGACUUUGAGCAUUUAAAAUGUGCUGACACUGAUGACUAUGGGGACUUAGAAAGUUAACCUAAACAUAUUAUGCUAUAGGCCUAUGAGGGCCAGGGAGUGGAAUUUGAUAGUCUGAAUGAGAAUGGCCUCUAUUGGCUCAUUAUGUUUGAAUUCUUGGCUCCCCAGUUUGUGGAAUUGCUUGGGGAGGAUUAGAAAGUGUGGCCUUGUUGGAGUGGGUGUGUCACUGGGGAUGGGCUUUAAGGUUUCAAAAGCCCACACCAGUCCCAAUUAGCUUUCUCUGACUUGUGCUUGUCAAUCAAGACGUAAGUUCCCAGCUUCUGCUCCAGCUGCUACCUGCUUGUUACCAUGUUACCCACUAUGAUUGUCAUGGUCAUGGAGUCAUCCUCAGAAACUGUGAUCCUCAAAUAAAGUCUUUCCUCUA